AUUUGUAUAGUAUACCAGUAUAUAUGACUUCCAAUCAUAAGGACUAAAUUCAAUUUAGUACAAAUA
rnacentral:tRNA from 1 species